rnacentral:lncRNA from 1 species
CUCAGGUUAAUGCACACUCUGCUGGUUGAACAGCCGUUGCCUGGAUUCAGUUCUUGGCUGUUCUGCAAGCUUUCAGACAAAGCUUUUGGUUUGCCAUGCAAAUAGGUGGCACCCAGCCUGCCUCGGGGAGCAUGUGACUGUGUCAGGAGGGCUGGCUGACCCCUAGCAACCAGAGCUCAUCUCAUAGAGUGGUGGUACAUCUCCAGGAUUUGUUCCUCCCAUUCAGCAGAAGUGGUUGACCGCACCAUCGGCAGAAGAAUCAAACCGCUCACAACUGUGUCAGGUCCUGGCCUCGGGAGGAGCUCAACUGGGAGAACCUUUGGCAAGGAGAGAUGAGAGGAUUUGCCUAAUGAAAUUCCUCCCGAGCCUGCGCUUGAACAAGUCCUUGAGACAAAUGAGGAUUCAGUGUUUCAUCUGUAGUGGAUCUGCUUAAAAUAGUUUCCUGGGGAAGAAAGACAACUGCUCAUUUCCCGAGAUCCCACUGCGCUGCGUCCUACACCAAGCAGUCACAGGGGCAGAGGUGGGCAGCCAGGGAAGUUGUAUCUCAGUAUUUAAAAUGAGACAAGCCUGGGUUCUGGGAGAUCUUUCUUUUUGACAUUUUUGAUUUCAAAAAAGCACCAGAAGAGAUGGAAUAUUUUUCCUUCGACUUUACAGUAAAAACUAGAGUUGUG